AUGGACUACCAGCCCCUUGUCUCGGCCCUCGACGCCCGCAUCACGCCCGUCUCCCUCGACGAGCUCUUUGCCAUGCUCAGCAACUUUGAUCAGCGCGUGGCCCAGUUCCAGAACUCCGGUGGCGGCUUCGAGUCCUCUGCAAACGUGUCCACACGUGGACGUGGCGGCUACUCCUCGCACCACCGCGGUCCUCCUCGUCCCAAGGGCAAGCACGGCGGUCCCGGCAACUCCACCAACUCCAGCCCUUGCUCCGGGCGCCCCAACUCCACCAACACCAGGGGGCACCGUGGUGGCUAUGGCAAGUCCCGCCCCGAUGCCGUCCGUUGUCAGAGCUGCGGCAAGCCUGGCCACACGGCCAAGGACUGCUGGUACAGGUUCGAUGAGGACCAUGCAUCUUCUAAAGAGGAUGACAAGGUGGCCGUAGCCGCGAAGGGAGCAUAUGGUGUGGAUACCAACUGGUAUCUCGACAGCGGCGCCACCAAUCAUCUCACGGGCGAGCUGGAGAAGGUGACUCUCCGCGAGAAGUAUCAAGGGAAGGAUUAG
rnacentral:rRNA from 1 species